rnacentral:rRNA from 1 species
AGUGAACGCUGGCGGUAGGCCUAACACAUGCAAGUCGAACGGCAGCACAGUAAGAUCGUGCUCUUACGGGUGGCGAGUGGCGGACGGGUGAGGAAUACAACCGAACCUACUCUUUCGUGGGGGAUAACGUAGGUAAACUUACUCUCAUACCGCAUACGAUCUACGGUGGAAAGCAGGGGAACUUCUGACCUUGCGCGAAUGAAUUAGCCGAUGUCGGAUUAGUUAGUUGGCGGGGUAAAGGCCCACCAAGGCGACGAUCCGUAGCUGGUCUGAGAGGAUGAUCGGCCACACUGGAACUGAGACACGGUCCAGACUCCUACGGGAGGCAGCAGUCGGGAAUAUUGGACAAUGGGCGCAAGCCUGAUCCAGCCAUACCGCGUGGGUGAAGAAGGCCUUCGGUUUGUAAAGCCCUUUUGUUGGGAAAGAAAAGCAGCAGCUUAAUACCCCGCUGUUCUGACGGUACCCAAAGAAGAAGCACCGGCUAACUACGUG